GUGAAAGAAGGAGAAAACCUCAUGGCCUUUCUUACUUUUAGAUUAAGUAACACUAAAUUAUGCAGUUUUACUCAAAAUGAUGCAGAACUGUUGAGACAUAUAUUUUCAUUAUUUUAUUACUGCCACCCUGGGUGAAGUUUUCUGGGCGAUGCACAGUCAUGUUUUACAGCCUGACAUGUUUUCAUGAUGAGAUGUUUUUGAAGCACACAUUUUUGACAGACUUAUGUAUUUAAAUAGUUCAUGCGUAAACAUUAAUGGUAUAUUAUUCACACGUGUUCACAAAAAACCACAGAAUUGUAUCGGUGUUAUACUGAAGCUGAACCUUGCACACAAUUCCUUGAAAAUCUAAAAACUGAAAAAGCUCCAUUCAUUGGCUUAGAUAGAAAGACUCAUGGAAAGGUUGAGAGCAUGUCUGAGUCUCAAAUAACCACCAAGGUGAGGUCACUAUUUUAUUUGGGAAGCUGAAAAUAAAUACCCUAUGCUUUCCUUCUUUGUAACUAGCAAAAAAUGAACAAACAAAGAUCACGUAUAAACUUCUUUUGAAGUUUCUCACCGUGCACGGCUGGCUGACACAACACCCAUCAUCACAGAUCACAGCAGCAAAGCUGUGAUUGUUAUUGGAUUUUUGAGUUGUGGCUUCACGUACUCGCUCACAUACGUACACUCUCAAGGUUCCCUCGUGAUCUCCAGUUAAAUUGAAAAAAAAGUUCUCUUGCCGUUUGCUGUGGUUUGUUCAAAUAUUGCUUUUGAGAGAAUUGGCAGCUUAUGUUCACUUCGUCAUUGUUUGAAGAGGACUCUUUGUGUGUGAGUGUGUGUUUAUGUGUGUGGUUUGACUCCACGAUAAAGCUUUUUAUAUAUAGAAUAACAGUGGAGGGAUGGUGUAGAUUUAUUUCUCGUCACGUAGAGCUAUGUGGUCUUUGCCCUGUUCAUGAAUAGCUAUUCACACGGUUUCUCGCAGGCAGUUGCAAAAGAGUUUUCUUUGCAGACAAAACAUCUAUGUGGCCUGAAAAUGAUUUGAUAUGCUGUGGUGUCAUUCUCCCUUCUGGCAGCAUCCCUUCUGUUACAGUCAUGAAUAACGAAAUUCAUUAUUUAAUAGUCAGUCCGCUGUGAAAUACAAGUAUGUCUUAACCCACUCGAAGCAUUUGGCCUUGUUUCCCCUCUGAGGAGUGAUUUAGAGACACACAUCCUGUGAGAGGUCUAUUAGACAGCAUAUCUUUUGACAGAUGAAGUGAAGGAGUGGGGGUGUUGGCCUAUUUGAUCAUGCUUUGGAUGCAACUCUCACAACAGAAUUGUUUUAGAGUGUUACAUGCUACCUUGUCUUUAGACAUAGGAAAAACCACAAAUCAGUCUAACUUUGUACAAAUGCCUCCAGAACUGAUCUGCAGGAGUGUGAUCUGAACAUGUGCUUCAGCUGCCUUUUUCAAGGAGUUAACCUUUCCUGUCACAUAAAUUUUCUUCUGUUUAUAUGCCACCCUAGAAAUAAU
ensembl:lncRNA